UACGGAGGGGGCUAGCGUUGUUCGGAAUUACUGGGCGUAAAGCGCGCGUAGGCGGCUUUGUAAGUUAGAGGUGAAAGCCCGGAGCUCAACUCCGGAAUUGCCUUUAAGACUGCAUCGCUAGAAUCAUGGAGAGGUGAGUGGAAUUCCGAGUGUAGAGGUGAAAUUCGUAGAUAUUCGGAAGAACACCCGUGGCUAAGGCGGUUCUCUAGUACGGUACUGACGCUGAGACGCGAAAGCGUGGGGAGCGAACAGG
rnacentral:rRNA from 1 species